AAUGCACAGCUACAGCUGGUUGAAGGGGACCAAAUCCAUCGAACAGUUGAUUUGGUUCCAUUUUACCAGCUCUAGCAAAGCAUUUGG
rnacentral:pre_miRNA from 1 species